CUAUGACUUAUAAAAGUCAUGGCGAAAGGAG
rnacentral:ncRNA from 1 species